rnacentral:rRNA from 1 species
UGGGGAAUUUUGCACAAUGGAGGAAACUCUGAUGCAGCGACGCCGCGUGAGUGAUGAAGAUCUUCGGAUUGUAAAACUCUGUCCUUAGUGAAGAUAAUGACAGUAACUAAGAAGCAAGCCCUGGCUAAAUACGUGCCAGCAGCCGCGGUAAUACGUAUGGGGCAAGCGUUGUCCGGAAUUAUUGGGCGUAAAGGGUACGUAGGCGGUUUAAUAAGUCCUAAUUAAAAGGCUAUGGCUCAACCAUAGUAUGGUUAGGAAACUGUUGAACUUGAGUAGAUGAGGGGAAAGUGGAAUUCCAUGUGUAGCGGUGAAAUGCGUAGAUAUAUGGAGGAACACCAAUGGCGAAGGCAACUUUCUGGAAUCAAACUGACGCUGAGGUAAGAAGGCGUGGGGAGCAAACAGG